UACGUAGGGUCCGAGCGUUGUCCGGAAUUACUGGGCGUAAAGAGCUCGUAGGUGGUUUGUCGCGUUGUUCGUGAAAACUCACAGCUCAACUGUGGGCGUGCGGGCGAUACGGGCAGACUUGAGUACUGCAGGGGAGACUGGAAUUCCUGGUGUAGCGGUGAAAUGCGCAGAUAUCAGGAGGAACACCGGUGGCGAAGGCGGCUUGCUGGGCCUU
rnacentral:rRNA from 1 species